UGACUCAUGCCGCUCUGGUGGCCUAGUGGUUAGGGCGUCUGCCUCAGAUGCGGGAGGACGCUGGUUCGAACCAGGGCUGAGUCAU